rnacentral:rRNA from 1 species
UACGUAGGGUGCAAGCGUUGUCCGGAUUCAUUGGGCGUAAAGGGUGCGUAGGUGGCGCCAUAAGUCAGGUGUGAAAUCUCGGGGCUCAACCCCGAAACUGCACUUGAUACUGUGGUGCUCGAGUACUGGAGAGGAGAUUGGAAUUUACGGUGUAGCAGUGAAAUGCGUAGAUAUCGUAAGGAAGACCAGUGGCGAAGGCGAAUCUCUGGACAGUUACUGACACUGAGGCACGAAGGCCAGGGGAGCAAACGGG